CAGUCGCCGCGGUAAAACGUAGGUGGCAAGCGUUGUCCGGAAUUAUUGGGCGUAAAGGGCUCGCAGGCGGUUUCUUAAGUCUGAUGUGAAAGCCCCCGGCUCAACCAGGGAGGGUCAUUGGAAACUGGGAAACUUGAGUGCAGAAGAGGAGAGUGGAAUUCCACGUGUAGCGGUGAAAUGCGUAGAGAUGUGGAGGAACACCAGUGGCGAAAGCGACUCUCUGGUCUGUAACUGACGCUGAGGAGCGAAAGCGUGGGGAGCGAACAGGAUUAGAUACCCGUGUAGUCCCUGUCUCUUAUAA
rnacentral:rRNA from 1 species